rnacentral:rRNA from 1 species
UACGUAGGGGGCAAGCGUUGUCCGGAUUUAUUGGGCGUAAAGAGCGUGUAGGCGGUCCGACAGGUCCGUUGUGAAAACUCGAGGCUCAACCUCGAGACGUCGAUGGAAACCGUCGGGCUAGAGUCCGGAAGAGGAGAGUGGAAUUCCUGGUGUAGCGGUGAAAUGCGCAGAUAUCAGGAGGAACACCGGUGGCGAAGGCAGGUCUCUGGGCCAUAACUGACGCUGAGAAGCGAAAGCAUGGGGAGCGAACAGG